GGGUUGUGAGGUUAAGUGACUAAGCGUACACGGUGGAUGCCUAGGCAGUCAGAGGCGAUGAAGGACGUGCUAAUCUGCGAUAAGCGUCGGUAAGCUGAUAUGAAGCGUUAUAACCGACGAUUUCCGAAUGGGGAAACCCAGUGCAAUUCGUUGCACUAUCGUUAAGUGAAUACAUAGCUUAACGAAGCGAACCAGGGGAACUGAAACAUCUAAGUACCCUGAGGAAAAGAAAUCAACCGAGAUUCCCCUAGUAGCGGCGAGCGAACGGGGAGCAGCCCAGAACCUUAAUCAGCGUAUGUGUCAGAGGAACGGUCUGGAAAGUCCGGCGAUACAGGGUGAUAGCCCCGUACUUGAAAAUGCAUAUGUUGUGAGUUCGAUGAGUAGGGCGGGACACGUGACAUCCUGUCUGAAUAUGGGGGGACCAUCCUCCAAGGCUAAAUACUCCUGACUGACCGAUAGUGAACCAGUACCGUGAGGGAAAGGCGAAAAGAACCCCGGCGAGGGGAGUGAAAUAGAACCUGAAACCGUGUACGUACAAGCAGUGGGAGCCUCUUUUAUGGGGUGACUGCGUACCUUUUGUAUAAUGGGUCAGCGACUUAUAUUUUGUAGCAAGGUUAACCGAAUAGGGGAGCCGUAGGGAAACCGAGUCUUAACUGGGCGUCAAGUUGCAAGGUAUAGACCCGAAACCCGGUGAUCUAGCCAUGGGCAGGUUGAAGGUUGGGUAACACUAACUGGAGGACCGAACCGACUAAUGUUGAAAAAUUAGCGGAUGACUUGUGGCUGGGGGUGAAAGGCCAA
rnacentral:rRNA from 1 species